rnacentral:rRNA from 1 species
GAAUAUUGGACAAUGGGCGAAAGCCUGAUCCAGCCAUGCCGCGUGUGUGAAGAAGGUCUUCGGAUUGUAAAGCUCUGUUGUAAGGGAAGAACACGUACGGGAGUAACUGCCCGUGCCAUGACGGUACCUUAUUAGAAAGCCACGGCUAACUACGUGCCCGCACCCGCGGUAAUACGUAGGUGGCAAGCGUUGUCCGGAAUUAUUGGGCGUAAAGCGCGCGCAGGUGGUUCUUUAAGUCUGAUGUGAAAGCCCACGGCUCAACCGUGGAGGGUCAUUGGAAACUGGAGAACUUGAGUACAGAAGAGGAAAGCGGAAUUCCACGUGUAGCGGUGAAAUGCGUAGAGAUGUGGAGGAACACCAGUGGCGAAGGCGGCUUUCUGGUCUGUAACUGACGCUGAGGCGCGAAAGCGUGGGGAGCAAACAG